rnacentral:rRNA from 1 species
UACGUAGGGUGCAGGCGUUAAUCGGAAUUACUGGGCGUAAAGCGUGCGCAGGCGGCUCCUUAAGUCAGAUGUGAAAGCCCCGGGCUUAACCUGGGAACUGCGUUUGAAACUGGGGAGCUAGAGUGUAGAAGAGGGGGGUGGAAUUCCAGGUGUAGCAGUGAAAUGCGUAGAUAUCUGGAGGAACACCGAUGGCGAAGGCAGCUCCCUGGGCUAACACUGACGCUCAUGCACGAAAGCGUGGGGAGCAAACAGG